GUGCGGAAGGGGUGCCCGGGACGAAGCCAUGGCCCUGGAGGCGGCGGGAGGGCCGCCGGAGGAAACGCUGUCACUGUGGAAACGGUAAUGCUGUCAGGCGACGCGCAGGAGGCGGGGGCCGAGGCCGGGCGGCCCUUCGCGGACCCUCCGAGCUCAUAGUCUUCAGGCUGUGGAAUCGGAGCUGCCACCGCCCGAGACUCCAAAGCAAAGCCCAGUUUCCGGCGCGGAAGCGGAGGGAUCUCAGGAAUUGUAGUCCGCGGGGUGGGCGCGGUUCUCGCUUCCGGCCAGUUUGUCUGGCCUGCGCUUGCGCGGGUCUCCGCCGCCUGGGCUCCUAGGGACUGUGGCCUCGGCGGGAGCAAGCUCGGCUGAAGGCCCACGUCGUAGACCGGGACACCGAGGCGUGGCAGCGAGACCCCGCCUUCUCGGGUCUGCAGAGGGUCGGGGGCGUUGACGUGUCCUUCGUGAAAGGGGACAGUGUCCGCGCUUGUGCUUCCCUGGUGGUGCUCAGCUUCCCUGAGCUCGAGGCUUUGGGGUGGCCUGCCACCUUGGCGUCCUUACAGACCUGCCGUGUGUUGGGGUGGCCAAGAAACUUCUGCAGGUGGAUGGGCUGGAGAACAACGCCCUGCACAAGGAGAAGAUCCGACUCCUGCAGACUCGAGGAGACUCAUUCCCUCUGCUGGGAGACUCUGGGACUGUCCUGGGAAUGGCCCUGAGGAGCCACGACCGCAGCACCAGGCCCCUCUACAUCUCCGUGGGCCACAGGAUGAGCCUGGAGGCCGCUGUGCGCCUGACUUGCUGCUGCUGCAGGUUCCGGAUCCCAGAGCCCGUGCGCCAGGGCCGCGGCUCCUGAGCCUGAAGAACUGGCUGUGACCUGUGUGUCCUGAGUGGGCUUCUGUGGGGGAUGGAGGCAUUGCCAGCAGCAGCUCCUGGUGGGAAACUGGUCUAGAGACCAGCUCAGCACCCAGCAGCACGUCUGUCUCCCCCAGGCUGACAUCUGCUCCCGAGAGCACAUCCGCAAGUCGCUGGGACUCCCCGGGCCACCCACACCGAGGAGCCCGAAGGCGCAGAGGCCAGUGGCAUGCCCCAAAGGAGACUCCGGAGAGUCCUCAGCACUUUGUUGAACGUGGUGGUGAGAGCACACGUCCUCGUCUCAUUCCUGAUCGAACGCGGUGGUGAGAGCACACGUCCUCGUCUCGUUCCUGAUCGAACGCGGUGGUGAGAGCACACAUCCUCGUCUCGUUCCUGAUCGAACGCGGUGGUGAGAGCACACGUCCUCGUCUCGUUCCUGAUCGAACGUGGUGGUGAGAGCACACGUCCUUGUCUUGUUCCUGAUCUUAAGGGAACGUUUGCAGUCUUUCACCACUAGAUGUGAUGUGAGCUGUUAGAUUUUCAAGGAUGCUCUUCAUCCAGCUGAAGACGGUCCCUUCUAGUCCUAAUUUGUUAAGUGUUUUUAUCCUUAAAGGGUACUGGAUUUUGUCAAAUGCUUUUCUGGCCUCUAUUGAAAAGAUCCUGUGUUCUUCUGUGAAUAUGAGGUGUUACAUUGAUUGAUUUUCAUAUGUUGAGCCAGUUUCCAUUUGUGGAAUACAUCUAACUCGGUCAUGGUGUAUAAUCCAUUUACUCUGCUGCUGAAUGUGAUUUGCUUGUAUUUUGGUGCGGAUUUUUACAUCUGUAUUUAUAAGGGAUAUUGGUCUGGUGUUUUCUUAUGAUGUCUUCCUUUGGUUUUGAUAUCAGGAUAAUAUUAGCCUCAUAGAUUGGGUUAGGAAAUGUUCUCUCCUCCGUUUUUUUUGGAAGAGAGAGAUUGGUGUUAAUUCUUGCUAGAACCUUUGGUAGAAUUUGCCAGUAAGCCUAUCUGGUCUUGGGUCUUUGGGAGGAUUUUGAUUCGAUUCAAUCUAUGUAUUUGUUAUAGAUCGUUCGGAUUGUCCAUCCUUGAGUCAGUUGCUAGCUUGUGUGUUUCUUGGAGUUUUUCCGUUUCGUCCAUGUUAUCUCAUCUGUUGGCAUACCGUCGUUCACGGGAUUUUAUUGAUGUGUGUGAGGUCUCUGAGAACGUCCCUGCCUUCACUCCUGCUUUUAGUCACUGGCAUCUUCUUUUAACUUGGGCCAUCUGGCCGUGCAUGGUUUUGGGAGAGUCCUCCUUGACUCUGCAGAUGCUGAGCAGUGAUCUGGCUGGGAAAGGGGACCAGGAGUGCAGGGCACCUGCUGAGGACUCACCUAAGCCCAAGAGUCAGAGAGUCGGAGCUCCAACCACAUCUGCCUGCAUGCCUUUCCCAGGCUCUCCCCAGGCGGACAGCCAGCACCCCCUCCCCAAAGACCGGGCAGUUCCUGACCAGCACCCCACCAAGUCCUCAGUAAGGCCUGUCUUUGGGGGAGCAGGGUUUCAGGAGGACAGUGGGGGUGGUGUAGAACUCAUGGCUGGCGGUUCCGGGCCUCUCAGGAAGCUUUGCCACUGGGCUUGGGGUUAAGUGGGUGUGGGGCUCCGAACCCUAAAUGGGUGAGAGUUGAAAUGAAAGCGGCACCUGUAGUCCGUUUGGGGUGCAGGUGUGUGCCAGGGGUCUUCAGCCCCGGCUGAUGGCCACAUGAACCACAUGAGGAGAGGCAGGGCGUGUCAGCAGCAAACCUAAGUGUGUGCUCAUUUCUGUGGGCCCUUACUCUGUGACACUGCAGCUCUCCAGAGAGACGCUUUGAAAACAAAACAGGAAAGAACACACGGCCCCGCGUCUGUUGCCUGAGUCACUGUAUUCCUUAAAAGGUGAAGGACCCUGGUCCUUGGCUUUUCGUGCACAUGAGAAAAUGUUGGCCAAGGUUAGCGAUUAUGCUUCUGUAAUCUGUAACCAGAAGUGCUCUUAUGCCCAAACCUUGAUGUGAUUCUGCUGUAAUGUAACUUCGGAGCCAGCUGGAUGGAUGUGACUGUGCAGGUCCUGAGCCCCGGCCCCCGUAACCAAGCAGUGGGCCGAGACACUGAGCCGGGCAGUCAAACAGGAGCUCUCUAAGGCUGCUCCCGGGCUGGGACCUGGGUCUAGGAUUCUCAGUAAGACCUUUGAAUAAAACUAACUUGAAUUCUUCAAAA